rnacentral:rRNA from 1 species
AGCAGCCGCGGUAAUUCCAGCUCCAAUAGCGUAUAUUAAAGUUGUUGCAGUUAAAAAGCUCGUAGUUGAAUUUCGGGACCAAUAUGUCGGUCGUGCUUCGGUACGUACUUGCAUUAUUGGUUUCUCCCUUCUGAAGAACCAUGAUGUCAUUAAUUUGGUGUCUUGGGGAAUCAGGACUGUUACUUUGAAAAAUUAGAGUGUUUAAAGCAGGCUCACGCUUGAAUACAUUAGCAUGGAAUAAUGAAAUAGGACGUUUGAUUCUAUUUUGUUGGUUUCUAGGAUCGACGUAAUGAUUAAUAGGGAUAGUUGGGGGC